GACCACUUCCGCCGCUGCUUGUGACGAAAUCAGACACGUCAUAACACGUCAUUUCGCUUUUACCGUGUUAGUAUUUUGUGACUGGCCUUCACGAGCUGCAGUACUAGCUACAGUGGAUGACGUGGCUAUAGUGAGCAAUGGAAGGAUUCUGAAGGAAGCAGGAUUGUCCGGACAUUUUCCAUCGUUCAGAGAUACAAAAACAAACUAAGUUUCGAGAUCUGCAAUCUGAUCUUUCUUCAGACAAAACGCUACUACUCGUAAUUAUCACCUGGUAUUAUGGCUUCCAUCCUUUUCUACGUCUUAAUUACUCUACUCCUGGUUUCGUGUGGAAUUCAAGCCACAGAACGGCCACCAUUCUUCGCCAUCAUCGCUUCACCUCAAGAUAUGGACGAUUCAAAAGUCUUUCCUGACGGAACAGAACAUGGAAGGUCUGAUGAUUCCCAGAACCUACCAACCUCGUCUACAACUCCUGAUCCAAACAAAUUCCUGUUUAUUGCUCCUAAGAUUCGUUGCCGCAAAUGCUACAGAGUUGUCCAUGGAGAAUGCCGAAGGAUUGUAGGAUGCAGACUGAGGGAUCCAUAAAGUAAAUCUAUCUCGCCAUCCUCUCUUCAUCUCCUUCCAUCUUCUUACUGGUGUUGUUACUUUCGGACUCCAGUGCCUCACCUACGCUCUCCAGGAGAUAUCCCAGACAAGCAGCCUCUUAUGAACCCGACGACGGACCUCUCAUAUUCCCAGAUUCCGGAGAACGCUUUGCAGAGCAGCCUUUGAAAAUACCUGCAUGUGUUAUCCAAACCCUCCAAUAUGUCAUGAACAGGAACUUACUUGAUAUCGCCAUUCAUCAGUGUCUUUCAGGAUAAAGGAUGACCCCUAGUGGUUAUUGUCGAAGAAAUCGAAGUUAAUUAAUGGAUGUGAAUUUUCCACAUUGUUGAAGACUAUUCUACUUUAUUUAUUGGACAUUAAGUUUACUAUAUUUAAGACUUUUUUAUGUUAACUUUCAUGUAAAAUAGUAAAAGUAUUCACAUUUUAGAAAUUAUUACAUAAGUGUUUUGUACGAACACGGACAAACGGAAAAUACAUCUGGACAAGAAAGUUAUGCUUUGUAUAUUUAUCUUGAAAUAAAUAAAUUAACUAAUUAAUCUAUUCAUCAUUACAGUAGUUUAUAAUUUGUUAAAAACAAAAAACAUUCAAUAAAUGAUUUUGCAACAUCUCCAUAACUGCAGCUAUACAAUAUCAAUUCCUGUAAUGCAUCCUUGAAUCAAACUGAUAUGGAUAUUGAAAGUUCUUGAUCACUGUUAUAAUGACAUUUACAUAUAUUAAUAAAUUUUAAGAAUAUUAUAUUUAUUACAAAAGUGUUUUAAAACAACUCUUAUUAAGUUUUCUUGAACAUUUACAUUCUGACACUUUAGCAUUAUUAUGAGUCUUAGAGAUCCAAAUCCUUUAUUAUUUAUAAAAACAUUGUAUAAAUUUCAAAGUUUUGAGAGUUUGUACUCUGAUGUAAUCGUAUCGAAAACCAUUAAUUUGCAUAACUACACUAAAUUUAAAAUAUUUUGCUUCGGUUUGAUUGACAUUAGUUAAAAUACUCAAAAAUGUAAUAAUACUGAAUUGUUGAAAUACUGUAUGCGUUUUAUUUUAGUUACUGAUGUCUGAAAUUUUAUGUCCUCGGUCCAAAACUCUUCCGUCAAA